ensembl:lncRNA
UCAGGGGCUUGUCCCCUUGGUGAGAUCACCAGGCAGUGGCAUCUCAGACAUCCGCUUGGAGCUAAAUACAGGCUACUGCACUUUGCACCUCCUAUCAUGAUGAAAGGAAGAGAAAACUUGGGUUUUGGAGGCGGCACACUCCAUACCUGGGGACCCUGAAGAGACACAUACGCCAGGUAACAUACUAGAGAUACUCUUCUGCAGUUUGCCUUCUUUCCUAAAGAAAUACAGCGAAACAUCCUGGACAGCAUGCUGAACCAGUUCAUAGAGCUCUUCCUCAUUCUUUCUUGCUGCUGUUGGUGACCCCAUUGUGGGUGUUAGAGUUUAUGCAAUGAUCCUGCUGCAUGGGCAGUUAGGGUCACUCCAAUAUUUUGCAUUUACUGCUGAAGCUUCAGGCUAAAACGAUGGAUGGCUGGAGAGAGGAGCCAACAGAGGAGGUUGGACAGGUUCAACAGGAGGAACGAGAGGCAGCAGCAGAGUUUAAGAAAAGCCAUCUUUUACUGCACAAGCAAGGAUCCAAAAGAAGAAAUGGCACAGGGGGAGAUACGGCUAAUAAAGCAGAUUUGGACUUUCUUACUACUUGGGGGCAAGGACCCCCUGGUCUCUAACUCCCAUGGUAACAUGACAUAGUAGGAAGGACAGUAACAUAUGCAGCUCUUGAUUUUGAAGAUGACUGUAUGUGGUCGGGCUCCACCCUGCGUUACACAAAAGAAAUACAAAGACAAACGGAGCCUUCUGCUUGGACUUCCGGUGCGGACCUGACAGCCCCCACGUGUGAGGCGCCCGUCGGCCAGGACCCGCAGAGUCACCUGCAGCAGGGACUCUCCCCGCCGAGCCCCACCAGACA